GCUGGCAUGGUCUAAUGGUUAUGAUUUCUCGUUAACACCUCAUCAGUGUUGACUCGCUCCGAGAAGGUUCCGCGUUCGAUCCGCGGUGCUAGUA